AUCCUGGCUCAGGAUGAACGCUGGCGGCGUGCUUAAUACAUGCAAGUCGAACGAAGCACUUUCAGCAGAUCCCUUCGGGGUGAAGCCGGUUGUGACUUAGUGGCGGACGGGUGAGUAACGCGUGGGUAACCUGCCUUAUACAGGGGGAUAACAGUUAGAAAUGACUGCUAAUACCCCAUAAGCGCACGGGAUCGCAUGGUUCUGUGUGAAAAGAUUUAUCGGUAUAAGAUGGACCCGCGUCUGAUUAGUUAGUUGGCGGGGUAACGGCCCACCAAGACGACGAUCAGUAGCCGACUUGAGAGAGUGAUCGGCCACAUUGGGACUGAGACACGGCCCAGACUCCUACGGGAGGCAGCAGUAGGGAAUAUUGCACAAUGGGGGAAACCCUGAUGCAGCGACGCCGCGUGAGUGAAGAAGUAUUUCGGUAUGUAAAGCUCUAUCAGCAGGGAAGAUAAUGACGGUACCUGCAUAAGAAGCCCCGGCUAACUACGUGCC
rnacentral:rRNA from 1 species